GAGUAAUGUCUGGGAAACUGCCUGAUGGAGGGGGAUAACUACUGGAAACGGUAGCUAAUACCGCAUAACGUCGCAAGACCAAAGAGGGGGACCUUCGGGCCUCUUGCCAUCGGAUGUGCCCAGAUGGGAUUAGCUAGUAGGUGGGGUAAAGGCUCACCUAGGCGACGAUCCCUAGCUGGUCUGAGAGGAUGACCAGCCACACUGGAACUGAGACACGGUCCAGACUCCUACGGGAGGCAGCAGUGGGGAAUAUUGCACAAUGGGCGCAAGCCUGAUGCAGCCAUGCCGCGUGUAUGAAGAAGGCCUUCGGGUUGUAAAGUACUUUCAGCGGGGAGGAAGGGAGUAAAGUUAAUACCUUUGCUCAUUGACGUUACCCGCAGAAGAAGCACCGGCUAACUCCGUGCCAGCAGCCGCGGUAAUACGGAGGGUGCAAGCGUUAAUCGGAAUUAC
rnacentral:rRNA from 1 species